rnacentral:rRNA from 1 species
UAGGGAAUCUUCCGCAAUGGACGAAAGUCUGACGGAGCAACGCCGCGUGAGCGAAGAAGGUCUUCGGAUCGUAAAGCUCUGUUGUUAGGGAAGAACAAGUACCGUUCGAAUAGGGCGGUACCUUGACGGUACCUAACCAGAAAGCCACGGCUAACUACGUGCCAGCAGCCGCGGUAAUACGUAGGUGGCAAGCGUUAUCCGGAAUUAUUGGGCGUAAAGCGCGCGCAGGCGGUCCUUUAAGUCUGAUGUGAAAGCCCACGGCUCAACCGUGGAGGGUCAUUGGAAACUGGGGGACUUGAGUGCAGAAGAGGAGAGCGGAAUUCCACGUGUAGCGGUGAAAUGCGUAGAGAUGUGGAGGAACACCAGUGGCGAAGGCGGCUCUCUGGUCUGUAACUGACGCUGAGGCGCGAAAGCGUGGGGAGCGAACAGG